rnacentral:rRNA from 1 species
GACGAACGCUGGCGGCGUGCCUAAUACAUGCAAGUUGAGCGAUGAAGCUUGGUGCUUGCACCAAUUUGAAGAGCAGCGAACGGGUGAGUAACGCGUGGGGAAUCUGCCUUUGAGCGGGGGGCAACAUUUGGAAACGAAUGCUAAUACCGCAUAACAACUUUAAACAUAAGUUUUAAGUUUGAAAGAUGCAGUUGCAUCACUCAAAGAUGAUCCCGCGUUGUAUUAGCUAGUUGGUGAGGUAAAGGCUCACCAAGGCGAUGAUACAUAGCCGACCUGAGAGGGUGAUCGGCCACAUUGGGACUGAGACACGGCCCAAACUCCUACGGGAGGCAGCAGUAGGGAAUCUUCGGCAAUGGACGAAAGUCUGACCGAGCAACGCCGCGUGAGUGAAGAAGGUUUUCGGAUCGUAAAACUCUGUUGGUAGAGAAGAACGUUGGUGAGAGUGGAAAGCUCAUCAAGUGACGGUAACUACCCAGAAAGGGACGGCUAACUACGUG